CCCUUGUGGAGGAGGACGCCGAAGGUGGGGCUAAUGACUGGGGUGAAGUCGUAACAAGGUAGCCGUACCGGAAGGUGCGGCUGGAUCACCUCCUAACAGGGAGACAACAAAAUGUUUAAUAUUAUUAUUUUGUCACCUUAGGUCGAUCGGUAUCUCACAUUCUUAAUUUAUUAAGGAUUUCAUUUCCUAAGUUUUUCUAGGUCACACCCAUUAUUUUUCCUGGGCCAUUAGCUCAGGUGGUUAGAGCGCACCCCUGAUAAGGGUGAGGUCCCUGGUUCAAGUCCAGGAUGGCCCAUAUCUCUAUGUUGGGGGUAUAGCUCAGUUGGUAGAGCGCCUGCUUUGCAAGCAGGAUGUCAGCGGUUCGAGUCCGCUUACCUCCACUGAUUACCACCUCUUCCAUAAUUUAUAGAAAGGAAAUGUUUUGAGUUGUGAUCAAAUUCUGAACGAAUCUAGCUUCCUAAUCAAAUCAUUAAGAUGCUGGACUCAUUGAAUUAAUUUCAUUGUUUUCAGAGAACCUUGACAACUGCAUAGAUUAUUUUUAAAGACAAUAAGCAUCUUUAUUGAUGCAGAUUUAUUAUUUGUGCGAAUGCAUUAAUAACAAUUCUAUUAAGCUGAUGCUUCAAUUUUUGAAGUUAUUGGUCAAGCUACAAAGGGCUCACGGAGGAUACCUAGGCAC
rnacentral:misc_RNA from 1 species